rnacentral:other from 1 species
GGUUCCCUGCGAUGUCCGUGAUAAGUAGUGACUUCGAGCCAACACCUCAUCUAUGGGAGCCAGAUCUUGUUGCCGGGAGCAAGCUCGCGAAAGCGAGAAGCCAAAGGCACAAGCGAGGCACCCACUUUAAAUUUGAGGUUCAAGAUCUACUAUUUACACGGCAUUGCGGGGAUUUA